UUUGAAUUAUUUAUUAUGACAUUAAUUUAUAUGUAAGUUUGUGUGGUUGAAUAUUUCUAGAGGAAAUAAUUGAGAUAUAGUAAUUUUACAGUAAAUAAUUUUAUUGACAUUAAGUUAAUUUAGAUUUAGUAAAUGUUAAAAGAUUUGGUUAAAGUUGUGCCAGCAUCCGCGGUUAUACAAUGUGAAAUCAAGUAAAUAUUUUUGGUUUUUAAAUAAUUAAUAUAUAUCAAAAUAUAAUAAUUAAGAUGUUUUAAGGUGGAAUAUUUAAAAUAUUUUGAUAAAUAUAUGAGUUAGUAUGAUUGUUAUGAAAAUGAGAAUAGAAACUAGGAUUAGAUACCCUAUUAUUUUUAUUGUAAAAUUUUAAGCUUAAGUAUUAGUAGUUAUGAUCUUAAAACUUAAAGAAUUUGGCGGUAUUAUAGUCUAUUUAGAGGAAUCUGUUAUGUAAUUGACGACCCACGUUGAACCUUACUUAUAUUAUCUUCUUGUAUACCGCUGUUUUUGAGUAUACUUUUAGGUAAAAUUUUCUUAAUAUAAAAAUUUAAUAAUAAUUCAAGUCAAGGUGCAGUAAUAUAUAAGUUGAAUAAUGGAUUACAAUAAAUUUUAUUUAAAUGGAUUGUUACUGAAAGAUAAUUUGAAGGUGGAUUUAAUUGUAAUUUUAUAAAGAUUAGUAGGAUGAUUUAAAGCUCUAUAAUAUGUACACAUCGCCCGUCGCUCUCACUAUUAAGAUGAGAUAAGUCGUAACAGAGUAGGUGUAUCGGAAGCUGUACCUAGAGAGUGUAU
rnacentral:ncRNA from 1 species